CCGGGAUAUUUGGCCUCCGGAACGGAUUCGAAGCCCCGCCCCCUAACGUCGGUUUUUCAGGGCAAGGAGUUCCGUGGUCUCUGGCGACAGUGGUACUUACUGAAUGCAUUUGAUGUGUGCAAAGGACCUCAUGGACAGCAGGAAGCUGAACAUGACGCUGCCCUUUCCCGCGCUCCAGAUUCUCCCAGCAUGGUUUGAGAGGUAAUUGUGUAAAAUAAAGUUGAGGGACUCCUGUAAGAUCAUCUUCUACUAGAACUUUCUUUGAGACAAUACCCUGCCCAUAUGAAUCUUUAAAAACAUGCAGUGUCAAUAAUGUAUAUCAGAUAUACCCAUGUGCUUGGACAUGAGAUUUUCUCUUGAUAUAUGGAAUCAUUUUAGGAACCUCCGAAUGUUAAAAUGGUAUUACUUGCUGGUUCAAUUGCUAGACUACAUCUCUGGGGCAACAUUAAGGUUUUCCCUAAAGAAUGCAGCUUGAAUCACCUUUAAUUAUUUUUUAUUUUCUAAACUGGCAAAAUUUUAAGCAAAAUUUAUUACAUGCCCAAGGCGUCAGAGUGCUAGACUCCUGAAUCACUUUUUUGUUUUUUGCUUUUUAUGAUGCCCAAAGCAAAGAAGCUGGAAGGAUGCAGGGCUGAUCAUAUCUGUCCUCUCCAUCUUUUUGUUUAAAGUAGUUAAAGAAAAGCUCCCACCCCAUCCUAGUCUUCAAGGUAACAUUUCCAGACUAGUCUCACAGAUGGAGUGAAGGAAGCUCACUUGCUUGGUAUAUGUCAUUCUUUUCUCAAGGAAAGUGUGAGAUAUGAGUCUAUGGUUGUCUUUAUCUGGUGACAUCUGUCUGGCAUGAAUAAAGUACCUACAGGGGAACCUGGCUAAAGACAGAUACACCAGACCUCCUAAAAGUUUAGGGCCUGUAAGGUUUUACUGUUAAUAUUCUCUCUCUCUCUCUCUCUCUCUCUCUC